AUGAAAAAUAAUAAGGCUCCCGGCCCGGAUGGAUUCCCGGCUGAGUUUUAUAAGAAGUGCUGGCAUAUUAUUAAAGGGGAUCUGUUGCCGUUGUUCCAUGAUUUAUUCUCUGGACAGCUUCAGCUUUUUCAACUGAAUUUUGGAACGAUAACCCUGCUUCCUAAGAAAACAGAGGCUGUGAGAAUUGAGCAAUUCAGGCCCAUCUGUCUUCUUAAUGUUAGUUUCAAAUUUUUUACCAAGGUCGGGACUAAUAGGCUCACACAGAUUGCGCAUGCUGUGGUGCAGCCUACCCAAACUGCUUUCAUGCCGGACAUGAACAUCCUCGAAGGGGUUGUGGUCCUUCAUGAAAUGCUCCAUGAGAUUCACAUGAAAAAACUAGAUGGAGUUGUUUUUAAGGUGGAUUUCGAGAAAGCGUACGAUAAAGUCAAAUGGCCUUUCCUUCAAUAG
rnacentral:rRNA from 1 species